rnacentral:rRNA from 1 species
UGGGGAAUCUUCCGCAAUGGGCGAAAGCCUGACGGAGCAAUGCCGCGUGAGUGAAGAAGGCCUUCGGGUCGUAAAGCUCUGUCCUUGCUGAAGAGAGGUAUGGGUGUAAAUAAUGCUCAUAUUGGACGGUAGGCGAGGAGGAAGCCCCGGCUAACUACGUGCCAGCAGCCGCGGUAAUACGUAGGGGGCGAGCGUUGUCCGGAAUCACUGGGCGUAAAGGGCGCGUAGGCGGUUUUGUAAGUCGGAGGUGAAAGAUCAGGGCUCAACCCUGAGUGUGCCACCGAUACUGCAGGACUUGAGUAUGGAAGAGGAGAAUGGAAUUCCUAGUGUAGCGGUGAAAUGCGUAGAUAUUAGGAGGAACACCAGUGGCGAAGGCGAUUCUCUGGGCCAAGACUGACGC